UUUAUAUAAUUAAAAAAAUUAAUUAAUAUAAAUAAUAAUAUAAUACUACUACUACUACUACUACUACUAAUAAUAAUAAUAAUAAUAAUGUUACUCUAUUUAAAAAUAAUAAUUUAAAAAAAAUAAAAAAAAUAAAAACCUAAGGUUCAACUCCUUCUUCUUCAAAGAAAACCUAAGUUUAACUCAACUCCCUAUCACAUUGAACCCUUUCUCUCGAUC
rnacentral:lncRNA from 1 species